CUGUGGAAUGUCUGCUUCUCAUUCCUUUAGCAGCAGGAAUAUAUUCAUAAUAUGCCACAUUAAAAUAGGAGUUCUCAGGGCUGUCAACCUUAUUGAAAAGGUUGAGUAGUAGUAUAUUUCUCCUACAUUA
rnacentral:snoRNA from 1 species